CUAGCUGGAUGGGCGGGCAGUACCCUUUAUUGUUUGGAUUGAUCAUAGGAAUCUGCCAUACAUACAGUACAAUCUGUUUUGGUUUUCCAGUAGGUCCUUCCAUUCCCAAUACCACCAUACUUUCCAGAUGUGUGGUGGGGGCGGUCUACUGAGAAAUUGAGGAGUGUGUCAAACGAGCCCAGUCUGGGGUCAAGGUGUCCAUGGGUGCCUGUCGGGUCUGCUCUUUGUUCCUGAGGCAGUUUGCACUGCCGUUCUCGGGUGGGGCCCACUAUUCUGAAGUCACCUGACACCUGGGGAUCAGGAGGUCACUGGCUGCCAUCCGUCCACGGUUUUGGUGGCCUGCCAUAGCUAAGGAUGUUCAUCGGUUUGUGAGGGCAUGCUCAGUCUGUGCUCAAAACAUGUCCUCCAAUUCUCCAUCUAUUGGUCUAUUUACAACCUCUCCCCAUUCCUUCCCGCCCCUGGUCACACAUUGCCAUGGACUUUGUGGUAGGCCUCCAUCCAUCUAAUGGCAAUAUAGUGGUUCUCAAAGUGGUGGACCACUUUUCCAAGGCAGUCCACUUCAUUCCCCUUCCAAAACUUCCUUCUGCUAAAGAGACAGCUUGGGAGGUCGGACCAUGUCUUUCGGAUUCAUGGUCUUCCGGAGGAUGUGGUCUUUGACAGGUGGCCCAAGUUUGUUUCCUAUUUCUGGAGGAAGUUCUGCCGGCAGAUUGGGUCCCCUGCCAGUCUGUAAUUAGGCUUUCAUCCACAGACCAAUGGGCAGAUCGAGCAUGCUAAUCAUGAUCUCGGCUGAACGCUCUGUUGUCAAACCCUCAUCUUGGAGUAAACAGCUCACAUGAGCAGAAUAUGGUGUGCCUGGGGGAAGGGAGGGGUUGUCAGGACACUGGGUUGAUCUCUCUUUCUCUCUCUCUCUCUCUCCUUGUCAUCCUUGCAUUCACUCAGCUGAUCGCUAUUACUGAUCAGCACGCACAUGCCUUGCCACACCUGUUACCUGUCUACUCUAAUUUCCUUGCUAUUCAAAUUUUCCUUUUUCCACUUUCUAGUUGCUAAUGUGUUCUGUUGUUUUUCAGGCUAUCUUCGCUGCGUUAUCUUGUUUUGAUUCCUGUUGUUGUCAUUCAUUGCUUCAUGAUUUUGAUUCUGUUUUUCUCCCUGCCCAGUUUUGGCUCAGUUGCCUGUGAUUUUUCUUUGUUUUCUCUUGGAUUCAUCUCGGCCAGCCACCUACCUUCAACUUCACCUGUCUGACAUUAAGCUGGUCUGUCCUCCGUUGUCUCAUCUGCCUCCGGAUCGAUGCCUGCCACCUGAUGACCUGCCGAUUUGGACAUUUGCGUUUGGAUCCUUCUCUUUGGGUGUGACACCGACGUCUCCAAAACUGUUCCAGAUUUUCACAAAGAUUGAAAGUAAAAGAUGAUGCUGUGUGAACAAUAUUGGAUCUGAUAAUAACAUUUCACCACACAAGUGUGAUAGGUGGUGCCAUGUUAGUGGUGAUAUCAGAACAGCUGGAUUUACAACAUGCUAAUUUAUCAAUGUCUCCUGAGUUGCAUAAAAGUACUGCUGUUUUUUUGUGUUUGCGGCGUUGUUAAGCAAAGUGUCUCUGCAGGCCACGGUUGAGGGUAAUCUUGGGGAUUCUGCAGUCUUGCCUUGUUGUUCUAAUAAAAAUGAUUUCCAACAAGAAGAUAUCACAGUUUACUGGAGACAUAACAGCAGCAGGAAAGUUUAUGGCAUCAUCAAGGGGAAACCUUCAGUCGAGGAGCAAGGCCUGGAUUACAAAAACAGAACCCAAACCUUCCCUAAUGAGUAUCUGAAAGGAAACUUCUCACUCAGACUUAAAGGUCUUCAAUACAAUGAUGCAGGAACAUACGUCUGCUACAUCACUAUGACAAAUGAAAAUCCAAGCACACAGCUUUUGGUCAAAAAAAAUGAAGAGAGAAAAAACCAUGGAUCAGAAACAAGAGCAGAGAAGACUGUGCCUUUUUUAAUUCUGUUUGUAUUCUGCUACUGUAUGUAAUUAAACAGAGGAGUAAUGAAGUGUGUUACCUGGAGGGCCAGUGUGCUGCAGAGUUUAGCUCCAACCCCAAUUGGACACACCUAAACAAGCUAAUCAAACUCUUUCUAGUAUUACAAGCGUCCAGGUAUGUGUAUCUAGGCAAAUUUGACCUAAACUCUGCAGUAGAUUGGCCCCCCAGCACCACGUUUGGGCACCCCAGCACUAUAACUAAAAGACAGAAAACAAAUGCACUGCAUAAAGCUACUUUUAAAUGGCAAUCUACCUCUUUCCUAGCAAAAAAAAAAAACCUCUUUAUGUUAUUACAUAUGUUUCUGAGCAGCUGAAGAAUUUCUGCAUGGCUGAAUUAUUACUGAAUGGCUGAAGCAAAACAAAAUGAAGACACUGGUUCAGCUUCUUCAAAAUCCUGACCUGAAUCCAAUUAAGUUGCUAUGGCAUGACCAUGAGAGACUGUUCAAGUUUGAAAACCCUCCAAAGCGGCUGAAUUACAAUUCUGCAGAGAUAAGCGAGCCAAACAUCCCCCACAGUGCUGUAACAGACUCAUUGCACGCUAUCAAAAAUGCUUGGUUGCACAAACAAUUUUUCACUCAGGGCUAUGUACUUUUAAAAUUUGUUUGAUGCAUUUACCUGUGCUGUCUUUAACUAAUAUUUUUAAACUUGUUUGAUGAUCUGAA